UAAUUUUUGUAAAAUUGAAUAUUUAAAUUAUUUUUUUUUGUUUCUAGGGUAAAAUCGGGAAACUUAAUUACUUUUUGUUUAAUUUAUAAGAUUUGUAAAACGAACCAGAUUAGUACCUGGUUAGACAAAAUUUAAAAGAGCAGGAGUAAAGUUAUGUUUAAACUGUAAGGAUAUUGGCAGGCCUUUUAAAUUAUCUUUGGAGGUUGAGUAGUAAUUGAGAACCCUCAUUUUCAUCUUUCAUUUUAGGCGCAUGUAUGAUCGUUUAUUUUAUUCUUAAGGAUUGUAAACAAAAAUUUUUAUUUAUAAAAACAGAUAAAUACCUGGUUUAUAUGAAAGUUUAAAUUUGACCUACAAUAAUUUAUGUUUUUGGAUUCUUAUUCGAGAGAAUAGGAUGAAAUUGUAAAAGACAGUAAACUAUUUUUUAUAUAUAGUUGAAGUUUAUCUAAUGGCGGUACAAAUCAUC
rnacentral:rRNA from 1 species